rnacentral:rRNA from 1 species
UGCAGAAUCCCGUGAACCAUCGAGUCUUUGAACGCAAGUUGCGCCCAAAGCCACUAGGCUGAGGGCACGUCUGCCUGGGUGUC